GGGGGCCGGGCAGCCGCGUCCUUCGACAGGCUCAGGAUGAGCGGGUUUGAAGGCCGAGGAAAGUCCGGGCUCCACGAAGCAAGGGUGGCGGGUAACGCCCGCCGAGUGAGGGCUUUCGGGCCUGAGAUCAGGGAAAGUGCCACAGAGAGUAUACCGCCGAUGGCCCCUAAAGGGCACAGGCAAGGGUGAAAGGGUGCGGCAAGAGCGCACCGGGGUUCUGGUAACAGCGCCCGCAUGGCAAACCCCACCCGGAGCAAGGCCAAAUAGGGGUCUCGCGCCGAGAGGCAGGAGUGUUUCGCUCCGAGAGACCCGGGUUGGCUGCUUGAGCUGCGGAGCAAUCCGUAGCCUAGAUGAAUGGCUGCCCCCGCAGCGCUGGUCGCAAGAUACCGGUUGCGGGACAGAACCCGGCUUACAGGUCCCCUG
rnacentral:RNase_P_RNA from 1 species